UACGUAGGGUGCAAGCGUUAAUCGGAAUUACUGGGCGUAAAGCGUGCGCAGGCGGUUUUGUAAGUCUGAUGUGAAAGCCCACGGCUCAACCGUGGAAGGUCAUUGGAAACUGAAAGGCUUGAGUACAGAAGAGGAAAGCGGAAUUCCACGUGUAGCGGUGAAAUGCGUAGAGAUGUGGAGGAACACCAGUGGCGAAGGCGGCUUUCUGGUCUGUAACUGACGCUGAGGCGCGAAAGCGUGGGGAGCAAACAGG
rnacentral:rRNA from 1 species